GUUUGAAUCCUAAUCUCCCUUUAUAAUUCAUUAACGAUUCAUCAAUAGAUACAUUUUUUUGAGGAGUAUAAACUUCAGUAAAUUUGUGCUGAAGAUGGUCUACCAGUGGGUGUAUUUUAUGAAGCCUAUCAUAUUGGGUGUGAUCUCUGCGGUGACAGAGGGUAUUGUCAUUGAAAUGUAAGUAUCUCAGCAGCAGCUCAAAUCUUGUUC